rnacentral:misc_RNA from 1 species
AAGUCGUAACAAGGUCUCCGUAGGUGAACCUGCGGAGGGAUCAUUAACAAAUUUCAUUUUAAAAAUUUGAAAAAAUUUAAUAAAUUUUUUUAAUUUUUCAAAAUCAAAACACAACGCGAACAAUACGACUGUCCGCUCAGCUUGAAAAAUUUAUUUUAUUUUAUUUUUUUCCUUCUGAAGCGGCUUUUUUAUACUAACAAAUUUCACUUAAUGUUUUUUUUCUUUUUCUAAGAAAAUCAAAAACCUUAAAAUUUAAUUAUUCAAAUGCGAGUUUGAGCGAUUAAGAUUUUGUUUUUUGUUUUCGAAAUUGUCAAAGCUAAAUGAUAGUGAUUUCAUUAUUACCGUCUUUAUUUUUGCCGUUUGAAAUAAAAAAUCAAUGUAAAAGCACAACUCUUAGCAACGGAUAUCUUGGUUCUC